rnacentral:rRNA from 1 species
GUGGGGAAUAUUGCACAAUGGAGGAAACUCUGAUGCAGCAACGCCGCGUGAAGGAAGAAGGUUUUCGGAUCGUAAACUUCUAUCAAUAGGGACGAAACAAAUGACGGUACCUAAAUAAGAAGCCCCGGCUAACUACGUGCCAGCAGCCGCGGUAAUACGUAGGGGGCAAGCGUUAUCCGGAAUUACUGGGUGUAAAGGGAGCGUAGGCGGCAUGGUAAGCCAGAUGUGAAAGCCCGAAGCUUAACUUCGAGGAUUGCAUUUGGAACUAUCAAGCUAGAGUACAGGAGAGGAAAGCGGAAUUCCUAGUGUAGCGGUGAAAUGCGUAGAUAUUAGGAAGAACACCAGUGGCGAAGGCGGCUUUCUGGACUGAAACUGACGCUGAGGCUCGAAAGCGUGGGGAGCAAACAGGAUUAGAUACCCUGGUAGUCC